GAUCAUGGCUCAGGACGAACGCUGGCGGCGUGCUUAACACAUGCAAGUUGAACGGUAUGACAUGGAAGCUUGCUGAAGUGUCAUAUAGUAGCGGACGGGUGAGUAAUGCAUGAGAAGCUGCCAUUGGGAGGGGGACAACAGUUGGAAACGGCUGCUAAUACCCCGUAUGCCGGAAGGUGAAAGGGAGCGAUCCGCCCGAUGAGGUGCUCAUGUCCUAUCAGCUGGUUGGUGGGGUAACGGCCUACCAAGGCGACGACGGGUAGCCGGCCUGAGAGGGUGAACGGCCACACUGGAACUGAGAUACGGUCCAGACUCCUACGGGAGGCAGCAGUGGGGAAUAUUUGGGCAAUGGGGGCAACCCUGACCCAGCGACGCCGCGUGGGGGAAGACGGCCUUCGGGUUGUAAACCUCUUUUGUACGGGAAGAAGGAAGUGACGGUACUGUACGAAUAAGUCCCGGCUAACUACGUGCCAGCAGCCGC
rnacentral:rRNA from 1 species